rnacentral:rRNA from 1 species
GGCUCAGAUUGAACGCUGGCGGCAGGCCUAACACAUGCAAGUCGAGCGGUAGCACAAGAGAGCUUGCUCUCUGGGUGACGAGCGGCGGACGGGUGAGUAAUGUCUGGGAAACUGCCUGAUGGCGGGGGAUAACUAGUGGAAACGGUAGCUAAUACCGCAUAACGUCGCAAGACCAAAGUGGGGGACCUUCGGGCCUCACGCCAUCAGAUGUGCCCAGGUGGGAUUAGCUGGUAGGUGGGGUAACGGCUCACCUAGGCGACGAUCCCUAGCUGGUCUGAGAGGAUGACCAGCCACACUGGAACUGAGACACGGUCCAGACUCCUACGGGAGGCAGCAGUGGGGAAUAUUGCACAAUGGGCGCAAGCCUGAUGCAGCCAUGCCGCGUGUGUGAAGAAGGCCUUCGGGUUGUAAAGCACUUUCAGCGAGGAGGAAGGGUAAU